AGCGAACGCUGGCGGCAGGCCUAACACAUGCAAGUCGAACGAACUCUUCGGAGUUAGUGGCGGACGGGUGAGUAACACGUGGGAACGUGCCUUUUGGUUCGGAAUAACUCAGGGAAACUUGUGCUAAUACCGAAAGUGCCCUUCGGGGGAAAGAUUUAUCGCCAUUAGAGCGGCCCGCGUCUGAUUAGCUAGUUGGUGAG
rnacentral:rRNA from 1 species